rnacentral:piRNA from 1 species
UGCAGCCUGCCUUUGAUUUCCCGCCC